rnacentral:rRNA from 1 species
GAUGAACGCUGGCGGCGUGCCUAAUACAUGCAAGUCGAGCGAACAGAUGAGGAGCUUGCUCCUCUGACGUUAGCGGCGGACGGGUGAGUAACACGUGGAUAACCUACCUAUAAGACUGGGAUAACUUCGGGAAACCGGAGCUAAUACCGGAUAAUAUAUUGAACCGCAUGGUUCAAUAGUGAAAGACGGUUUUGCUGUCUCUUAUAGAUGGAUCCGCGCCGCAUUAGCUAGUUGGUAAGGUAACGGCUUACCAAGGCAACGAUGCGUAGCCGACCUGAGAGGGUGAUCGGCCACACGGGAACUGAGACACGGUCCAGACUCCUACGGGAGGCAGCAGUAGGGAAUCUUCCGCAAUGGGCGAAAGCCUGACGGAGCAACGCCGAGUGAGUGAUGAAGGUCUUCGGAUCGUAAAACUCUGUUAUUAGGGAAGAACAAAUGUGUAAGUAACUAUGCACGUCUUGACGGUACCUAAUCAGAAAGCCACGGCUAACUACGUG